rnacentral:rRNA from 1 species
UUCCAGACUCCUACGGGAGGCAGCAGUGGGGAAUAUUGCACAAUGGGGGAAACCCUGAUGCAGCGACGCCGCGUGAGCGAUGAAGUAUUUCGGUAUGUAAAGCUCUAUCAGCAGGGAAGAAGAUGACGGUACCUGACUAAGAAGCCCCGGCUAACUACGUGCCAGCAGCCGCGGUAAUACGUAGGGGGCAAGCGUUAUCCGGAUUUACUGGGUGUAAAGGGAGCGUAGACGGCGAUGCAAGCCAGAUGUGAAAGCCCGGGGCUCAACCCCGGAACUGCAUUUGGAACUGUGUGGCUGGAGUGUCGGAGAGGCAGGCGGAAUUCCUAGUGUAGCGGUGAAAUGCGUAGAUAUUAGGAGGAACACCAGUGGCGAAGGCGGCCUGCUGGACGAUGACUGACGUUGAGGCUCGAAAGCGUGGGGAGCAAACAGGAUUAGAUACCCUGGUAC